rnacentral:lncRNA from 1 species
GGUCUCCAACAAAAAAAAGAAACCUCGGUUAAAAACAUUUGUAAAGUUCUUCAAGAUGAUCUUUUGUCAGAUCCGAACCAGUUCCUUGACAAUUCCACCCAAUGAUAUUCAUAUUAGGGAGAAGUUUCUGAUUUCUAAUUUAAAACUUAGAUGUGUAAUUUGGGUUAUAUGUGUUUAACUAAUAAGAUCCAUAAAGGCCCAGCGGCCUACAUUAAAUCUUGGGCUUAGCCCAGAAUUGAAUUAGGCCCGCUAAUUUGCUGGCCCAGAAGACAGAUACAAUUAGGUCAAAAAAAGUAAUUUUUCCCUGGCCGCCGAUGAAGCUUCUCCGCCGCCACAGCCGUCAAGACCGUCGAUAUCUUCUGAAAGUUGGUGACUUUUGGAGAUCCGGCAUUUUAGAAACUAUCUGGAGCCUUGCCGUCGGAUAAGCACCACAAAAUUCUUUGGCUUGAAGACACCAAUGGAGGUAAUAGACAUGGAUCUCAAAGCCUUCCACGAAAAAAAAAAAAUUAGAAGAUAUGCAGCAGAUAGAGGUCUUAGCACAAGGCUAGAUACAGAGAAAACUCGCUUUUAGCGGAAGGAGAUUCAGUUCCUCAGAGAUCGUGGCUUGGUCCUGAGAUGAGCAUCGCCGGUGAAACCAUGAGAAAGAGUACAGAUCUUAGAGGGGGAACGAAGAGACCAGGUCCAGGGUUGCGCCGGUGAGACCAUGAGAACGAGCAAGCUCAAAAGGAGCAAGAGUUGUGCUGUUCAGAUCUGUAAGAAAUCAGGUCCAGGUCUUCAAAGGAAGGAGGAGCAGCACCGAUAACUUUAAGCAAAUCUUAAAACUCUCAACAGUAGAGAAUGGAGACAGCUGUCUUCGUCUUCAACAAAUAGAAGCACCGUAAUCUUCAGCCACACUAGAGAGGAACACCAAAGAGAUUCAAAGUCAAGAAUAUGGGGCAAAAAAGAGAUGAUCUGAGAUCCCCUGAGUCUACAUUGGGAAAAGGGCCAGAGAGACAAAGCGUAUGCUUCUCACAUGACCUCUUUUUACUUCCUAUAAUAUGAUAUCUUUCUUCUCUUUUUUUGUGUGUGUGUGUGGUCGUGACUAGUGAUGAUGGGAGGGGCAUUUGUUGUUUUUUGUUUUCGGGGUUCUUUCGAAUUUCCAAUGGAUGUUUUGAGAUUUUAUAAUUUUCUUUUCGUCUCUUUUUCUUUCUGGUUUUAAUCAAUUAAAACUAAAUAUAAAGGAGUAAGACUUAACCGGUGGGGUUUAAGAUGUAAGAG